GCCCGGAUGGUGAAAUUGGUAGACACUGCGGACUUAAAAUCCGCCGCUUUCCUGCGAAGGGGCAUGCGGGUUCGAUUCCCGCUCCGGGCACCA
rnacentral:tRNA from 1 species